rnacentral:rRNA from 1 species
UUCCUACGGGAGGCAGCAGUGGGGGAUAUUGCACAAUGGGGGAAACCCUGAUGCAGCGACGCCGCGGGUGGGAAGACGGUCCUCUGGAUUGUAAACCACUGUCCCCAGGGACGAAGAUGACGGUACCUGGGGAGGAAGCUCCGGCUAACUACGUGACAGCAGCCGCGGUAAUACGUAGGGGGCGAGCGUUAUCCGGAUUCACUGGGUGUAAAGGGAGCGUAGACGGCCAAGCAAGCCAGGGGAGAAAGCCCGGGGAACAACCCCGGGACUGCCCUUGGAAGUGCUUGGCUGGAGUGCGGGAGGGG